GUCACCAGGAUCCGUCUACCACUCCAUGGUGCAGCCGUGGUGAAGCCUGCCCCUCUCUCGUUGCCCAAUCCCGAUCUCCGCAUCAUCGAUCUGGUGGUGCUUAUCCUCCCCAAUCAGGAGUCUCUUGCCUCCCCAACCCCAAUGAGCAGCUCGUGCCUGUCCUCAUCCCCACGCACCCCGUUCCCUCCUCUGCUCCUAGUCCAGCACACCAACAGAACCGCAUCACCUGGCGAGGGUGCUACGUGCGUCGCCGCCGCCGGUUGAACGGGAUGGCCGACCAUCUCCCGUUGCAACGCCCUGCGCCGCCGCUGCCCGCGCACUCCCUGUGCCGCCGCCGACGCCCACGUGCGCCCCUUCCCCAGCCAGUGAGCCACCUUUGUGUGCGCCACCACUGCCUGUGCACGCCCUGUGCCGCCGACGAUGCCCACGUGCGGCCCUGAUCCAGCCAGCGAGCCACCGCACCUCCCGUCGAGCCGCCGGGCGACGGCGCAUCUGCCUCCUCCGCUCCGCCUCUACUGCCCUGCCUCCAAUGGUAGAACUUGAACAGGAGAAGAAGGAGAGGCAGUCGGGUUCCUCUCCAAGGUCCUCCUGUUUCCAAUCUGAUUCAGAUAUCUUUAGCCAAACUUAGCGUAUAGGCCUCAAAGCAUAGUACUAUUUUGGGUUUAGCACCCUCUGUUUUGCUGGUGUGGAAGGAAAGCGGGGAUUGUUGCCCUCUUGGUGUUGAUGCAGUGAUGCUAUGUUCAGUAGAGGAAGCACAAUGAAGCUAUUGUGGAUUUCGUUCAGACGGCAGCGGCAUGCAGCAUGUACGCAUCAUUGUAAAGGAGGCAAAUGCGUCAGUACCUCGCACUAUGAGCAUCAACUUGUUCAUGCGGGAGCACUGGGUACGAGAAGAGCCUUCACUUCAACUGUAUCUGCCUUCCCAAUGGGGAUUGGGGCUUCCUUGACAUGUCAAUCCCAUUGUGCUCGGUAAUCACCAUCUGGGACUCAGAGAAUGAAGGAGCAGAUCGGGGAAAAGCCAGACGACAUUGCAUUACAACGGCUUGAAGGCAGUAUCGUUUCAAUCCUGUGCAGACAGGUCCCUAGCUCUUUCUCCAUGGUCCUUCCUUUCUCGGCACUUCAACCCCGCUUCCUCGCCCCUGCCCUACGCCAGUCACCAGCGUGGGUAAGCUUCAAGUGACAACUGAAGCAACGCUGCCGCCAUCCUAUAUGCCAGGUCUUCAAGUGCCCACAAGGCCACAAGGUAUGCCAUGUCUUCUCUUUCCUUCCUAUUGUGUGAAACUGAACCUUCUCUUCAAAGUCUCCUGCUCCCCUUUGGUGAUCAUAUCAAGUUGGAAUGAUAAGUUUCCUUGAUGCGAAACUGAAAUAGAGCAGCAGGCCACAACACCUGAUUUAGGACAACGUCGUGUUGUCUGCUAUCAAGUACGUUGGUUCCACAAUGUAUUUUUUAUCCUAUUCCUCAUCAAUCAAAAAUAUUUCUAUGGCCAAACGUAUGCUUCUGAGUAGAGGCUGAUUUAAUGAAUGGUGUCGAGCAAUUGAUUGAGCUAAUGGACUUGGAUUGCUCAUGUAGUGAUCGCUAGUGUAAAUGGGUCAUCCUGGCAUAUUAUCCUUUGUGUUAGCCUUCUUGCUGACUACUUAUUUAUUUUUUUACAAUAAACAAAAGCGGAUACAAUGAUGGUCAGAGAAAAAGGUUUUCUUUACACUAAGAGAGAUUUCAUCGUGUGGAGCAAAAUGUUUUAACCCAGCAAAGAUACGAAUGGUUCUUUUUAACAGGUACUAGAGGUGCAUAGCUGCUCCGACGAUCAUGAUGUUCUUGGCUACGAGUAAUAAGAAGGAUGAAAGCCAAUAUGUGAUGUAUUUCAGGCAAACUUUUGGACUUAACUUGCAGUACAUGGCCAUAGUGAAUGUACCUAUUUAAAUAGAAAUUCGUUUAUGAAAAAUACAUUGUAGAUGACAUAGAUACGUAACUAACUGAUUUAACUAUUCAUAUAUAUUGUUGAUAGUAAAUCUUGCCAUGGACAAUCAAGUGGAUAUCUUAUUCUACCUUCGUGGAAUAGUCCUAAUACCACAUAUAUUUAUACGGUGAGCUUAGCAUACUUUGUUUUAAAGUUUUGUAACAAAAUUUUCAAGGCACACAGUUUUAACCAUGUGACAGGCACUAAUAUUUAUAUAUAUACUUGAACAUGUGUAUAAGAUGGUAUGAAGAUACGAUAGAACUUAUUUGUAGAUUUAUUGGCACACGAAAGAAUUAGAUAUUAGAGAUUUUUUUCCUGCUAAUAUAAAAUAUUAUUUUAGUUAUAUCAUGGAAAGAUUUAUAUAGUAGAGUUUGUGAACAGAUGAUGUUACACUCUGUCUGUGUUAAUUUCAUGAACUUUACUUUUUAGAUUAAAUAUCACUUUAACGUUGGUAUUUAAUUUCACAGUGUUGUUAUAUUAUCAUGUGAUUCAUAUGUUUUUAUAGUAGAACUUUAGUUGUCCCGUAGCAACGCACGUGCAUGAACCUAGUAUUCUCUUAGUUUUAAAUUAUAAGAUAUUUUGACUUUUGUAGAUAUGUUGCUUUUGCUAUGUAUUUAGACAUAGCUAUAUCUAAGUGCAUAAUGAAAGCUAUAAAUUUAAAAAGGUCAAAACAUCUUAUAAUUUAGAACGAAGAGAGUAGUUCACAAUCAAAUUUUUUAAGUAAAAAUUACAUAUUACAAUCAGACAACACAAAAUCUAGCAAAUUUUAUAUAUCCAAGAGAUCGUAAUUCUUGCUUUCUUCUCAAUUCAUUUUAAAUUUGAAAAUCUACGAAAAAACAUGAAUAUUUAUGUUAACAUUUUGAUUGGGAUAUUUUAUUUAGAAUUACACAGUACAACACAGACAUUUAUAACACAAGUAUACUUAUCCAAAUAAAUAUAUGUAAACCCUAUCUUUAUGAGCACCUUCGAAAUAUUUUAUUAGUCGGAAUAGAGCCAGUCUAGUAGUAAUCUAAUACCCUAGUUCUCCACUCCGUGUAGGCGCAAACAAUCUGCUGGCUGUGCAGGUAUCAAAGAAACAAGGAAGGACUUGGCUAUGCGCCAAAAAGAGGCAAGAAAGCCUUUGCUCCUCACAAGAUCUUUGUGAGAAACAAUAAUAGGCAUUGCAACAAGUGCAAGGACAUUUGGUAUAUUCAAGUCCUUCACUGUUCAAGUGUCAUUGCAAUACUUGUCAUUAUUACAAUAAAUCCUUGCAUUCCCUCUA